GAAAGCGGUGUGCUUGGAAACUUGCUCGCACCGUUUGGACGGGGGCUAUUGGUAAUAUUUGAUAAAAAACAAAUCUUAUCAAAGAAACGCCGAUAAUCUAUCCGUAU
rnacentral:ncRNA from 1 species